UACGUAGGGGGCGAGCGUUGUCCGGAUUUAUUGGGCGUAAAGAGCGUGUAGGCGGCUUUGCAAGUCCGUUGUGAAAACUCGAGGCUCAACCUCGAGACGCCGGUGGAAACUGCAAAGCUAGAGUCCGGAAGAGGAGAGUGGAAUUCCUGGUGUAGCGGUGAAAUGCGCAGAUAUCAGGAAGAACACCCGUGGCGAAGGCGGCUCUCUGGGACGGUACUGACGCUGAGACGCGAAAGCGUGGGGAGCGAGCAGG
rnacentral:rRNA from 1 species